rnacentral:rRNA from 1 species
GAUGAACGCUAGCUACAGGCUUAACACAUGCAAGUCGAGGGGAAACGACAUCGAAAGCUUGCUUUUGAUGGGCGUCGACCGGCGCACGGGUGAGUAACGCGUAUCCAACCUGCCCACCACUUGGGGAUAACCUUGCGAAAGUAAGACUAAUACCCGAUGAUAUCUCUAGAAGACAUCUGAAAGAGAUUAAAGAUUUAUCGGUGAUGGAUGGGGAUGCGUCUGAUUAGCUUGUUGGCGGGGUAACGGCCCACCAAGGCUACGAUCAGUAGGGGUUCUGAGAGGAAGGUCCCCCACAUUGGAACUGAGACACGGUCCAAACUCCUACGGGAGGCAGCAGUGAGGAAUAUUGGUCAAUGGGGCGAGAGCCUGAACCAGCCAAGUAGCGUGCAGGAUGACGGCCCUAUGGGUUGUAAACUGCUUUUAUAAGGGAAUAAAGUGAGCCUCGUGAGGCUUUUUGCAUGUACCUUAUGAAUAAGGACCGGCUAAUUCCGUGCCAGCAGCCG